UUUCUAUAGUCGUUUUAAAUUACAUUCAACACAUACGCAAACUAAAUAGAUUGUUUUCUAUUUUAAAACAAAAGGAGCGUUUGUGUCACUUGUGUCAGCUGUGUCAGCUUUUAAAAAAAAUUGGAUAUAGAUUGUUGGAAACGUUAUAAAGAAGGUCGUUUAAAAAAAAGAAAGGUUUGUUUAAUGUUCGACUCUAUAGGCCCCGUUCUACACUUUCUGAGGGUCAGGCUCUUGUCAGCGCCACACUGUCUGCACUGUUGUAAGUCCGGAAAAUAGAGGGAAAAUAAGUCUGUACACAAUGCUACCACAGAUCCAUUUCAUCUUUAUUACUCAAUGUCUUGUACAAGUUGUAUUCAGUCAACGCAUUGAACUCUUUCCCUACGAUGAAACAAACUGUAACGUCAGUCUUGUGGAAGAGAAUGAUAGAAUUAUAAUGUAUGGCAAAGUGGAUUUCAAUGGAAACAUUCCAGCAUCAUCAGUUGUCUACUUUGAAAUCAAAAGAAAAACUGAAACAAGUUUUCAAUUUGUACGAGCUCAAGACACAUUGAAUAUUUGUUUUGUUUGUAUUUUUCAAUAAUUCGCUAUUCUUCUAUAGCAAUGACUUUAAUGUUUUUUUAAAAUCUUGUACACAGUUUAUCAAUAGCCUUUUAUCUUCAUGAAGCAAAGUGUACAUUUUGAGCUGCCCACGAAAGAAAAAAAAGUCUCAGUUAUUUUUGUGUGGUCUGUGUGUCCGUCCAAACAGUGGACACCAGGUGGGAGGAGGCUUCAGACAUUGCUAAUGACAGAUAUUUAUGGAGACCCCUUUUUUGCCCAAUGAGCCGAACGGCGCGGGAGGACCUAAGUCUAAGUCUAAAGUGUGUCAGUCCAUCCAAUUUAAAGCGCAGAUAAAAAAAAAUAAUAAUAUUUUAGAAGUUACAAAAUUUUGUACGAGUGUAACGGCUUUAAUAAAAAUAACUAUGCAAGCUGAUUUUUUUUUAUAAAACUACACCAUUUUUACACUUAUUU